rnacentral:rRNA from 1 species
UAGGGAAUCUUCGGCAAUGGACGAAAGUCUGACCGAGCAACGCCGCGGGAGUGAAGAAGGUUUUCGGAGCGUAAAACUCUGUUGUUAGAGAAGAACAAGGACGUUAGUAACUGAACGUCCCCUGACGGUAUCUAACCAGAAAGCCACGGCUAACUACGUGCCAGCAGCCGCGGUAAUACGUAGGUGGCAAGCGUUGUCCGGAUUUAUUGGGCGUAAAGCGAGCGCAGGCGGUUUCUUAAGUCUGAUGUGAAAGCCCCCGGCUCAACCGGGGAGGGUCAUUGGAAACUGGGAGACUUGAGUGCAGAAGAGGAGAGUGGAAUUCCAUGUGUAGCGGUGAAAUGCGUAGAUAUAUGGAGGAACACCAGUGGCGAAGGCGGCUCUCUGGUCUGUAACUGACGCUGAGGCUCGAAAGCGUGGGGAGCAAACAGG